UUCUCAGCCCUUUUCAUUUUUCAUCACCCGCUCUUUAUUUUUGUGCUCCCGAAGAUAUUUUCUCCCCUUCAUAUCAACUGAAUAUUCAGUUCAUGUCUCGAUCUAAAAAUGGAUCUGCAGUUGCAGCCUUGUAUUCGAUUUGGAUGAGCUUGUUAAGGCCCAAGAAGAUAUCAAGGGGGAAAAAGUUGUUGGUGUUUCUGUAACAGAUUUAGAUGUAAUGAGUAAAGCUUUUCAGAAGGAGUGUAGAGGACGGGUUCGUGAUGUUGGUCUUGUUACUCGUACUCAAUAGGAUUAUUCUGCUCCUGCGCGUGCCAAAGUACAAGAGUUUAAAUCUAAGGAUGGAGUUGUUAAGCAUCAGUUGGAGGACCUAUGUAACAAGGUGGGGAUUUUGAUCGAAAGCUUGGGAUCACUAUGUCACACUGUGAUGGAUAUCCAGGAUGCAAUGUCGGGGUCAGUUGUGGCAUCAAGCAACAACGGGUGCUUACCAGGUCAUGCAGCUUCACCUCUUCAGAAUAAUUCUGUUGCUCCUGGACAUGCUCAAACACCUUCACCUGUUCAAACACCUUAACCUGGGAAAACCAUAUCACCAGCUCGAUCAUAGUAGCUGUUGAAAUGCCUCUAUUUUCAUUGUUGAACAUUGACGAAGAAGUUUUGGCUGUUGGUAGACUGUGUACUGGUGCACAGGGACGUAUGUGUCAUGGCACUAUUGUACCAGCUAAUCUUGGAAAGGUGUUGCUGGAUAAGAUUCUCAUUCCAGAAGAAAAAAUCUCAAAAGCUAGCAAUUUUGUUGAGACCUUUAGAGAUGUUGUUGUUGGAGGGUACAUGCUUCAUCCAAAGACGUGCAUCAGAAAUGAUUAUUCGGGUCGGCGGUCGACCUAUUUUAUUGGUACCUCAGCCAUCAUCUAAUGCUCGAUAAAUGAAAAACAUAUACGGCUUUAUCUUUUUUUGCUUAUAUAUGUUCAGAUUUUUGUACAUGUGCUUAGCAUUCUAGCAUGUAGAUUCUUAUGCAUUUGUGCAUAAGGAAGACUCUCAGACAGAUUUUUAUGCAGUUGUGCAUAAAGGAACACUCUCAAGCAGUUGUGCUUAAAAAACUUCGAAUCGUAAUGUAUCUAUGUGAACCGACAGUAUUAAUAUAAUCAGUAUUUCUGUAGGUGUGUGUGGUUUGGAUUCUGUUGUAUUUUUUUGCGCAGGUGACUGCAGUACAGGUCAAUUGAAGUAGUACCACCCGGGGAAUAUCAAUCCUUGGUAAGUACACUUCUUUUGCUUAUGCUUAUCAUAUUGAGUUAUGUUGGAUACUAAUCUUCAUUAUAUAAUUGAUUUUGAGGUAAUAUGAUGUUCGUGAUGUUGCUACGGGAUUAUGCUAUUGCUGACCUUUUUUCGAUAAGUCUCUGUUGCGAUUUUCAUUGCUCCCAUGAAGCCAAUGGGUCUGGUGGGUCUUCAUAAUUCAACAAGUUCCUAAUUCUUUCAUAUUUGUGUAAUUGGCAGUUUCAGUAUGUCUAUUAACAAAAAAAUAUGAAGAUAGAUUCAGGUAAUGUUACUACUUACUCUUAGAUUUAUUGUAUCAAUAUAUUAUUAGAUUUAUAUGUGAUGUAUGAGUUAUUUUAACACUCUUAAAGUUUCACAAGAAUCACCAAAAGCUUAUGUCGUGUGCUGUCCGGCUCCCCAUUCUGCACCGACCGGUGAAUUUUCAAUUCCCUUAUUGUCCUUCAACAUGAUGUAGAUACACUCACAACAGCAGCAGUAGUUUCUGAAUGUUCAUGAUCAACAACUACUCUGAAACGAAGGUAUUUGGGCUUAAGUCAAAAAGCAGUACUCUUGUGAUAUUUUAGAAGCAGUUGAAUCUUUGCUGAGGAGAUUGGUUAAGCAAGCAGAGUCUGGUGAUACUUCUGGUGAUUUUUAGUCUUUCUUUCCCUGUUUUUCAAUGCCUCUGUCAGUUGACACAAUUUAGGUUACCCAUCCAUUUAUAAACAUCAACAUAGAUCGAAUAUUGUAUGUCAGUCACCACAUACAUAAGUUUACUUGUAUACAUUUGUAUCAAUU